UCUGGUGACAAAGGAACUCAGCUACUCAUCAAGGAAGUCUACCUACAUACUCCUCAAGCUUCCAUUCAGAAAUUUAAAGGUUGUAGACUGAAAGGGAAGUGGGGAAACAUUAGAGGCAUGCCGAGCGCAUGAACAAUGUUGGAGGACGAUAUGUCAUUAAAUGGCUGGAAACUUGGCAACAAAAUAUCCUUUGGAUUAUACAGUAGAAGGACUACUAGCUAGCCAAGAAAAGAAUCUCGAUCCCUCCUUCUAGAACAUGGACACGUGGAAGGAUCUUCACAAUUCCUCCAGGCCCCACCACCACCCUUUCAUCUGGAGAUGUUGGCACAUAGUUCAAGCUUGAUGCAAACCCAUUGGAAGACAUGACCCCAAUUUAUAUGGAAAUUGUGCGAGUUGAUUUGACUGAAUUCCACAAUGGGUAGUUGCACACGCAACAUUCCUCAUGUUUAGCGAUAAAUUUUAACUUAAGUUUUUUCAA